UACAGUUUUUGAAAGAAAAUGAAGUAGUUAAGGCUAAAGCUUUAACAUGGAGUCAAGCGUUUGUAAGAGCAUUGCACUCACACCUGCUAAAGGUCAAGCCACAGGAUGUUGCUGUAGACCUGGAUAACAAUGGACUGAAGUCAAGGAGUUCAUGAUGAUCACCAUUCUACAGAAGAGGAAACUGAGGCUGGGAGAAAUGAAGGCACUGUCUCCUUGUCCUCCAUGUGUCCCAGUGGGCACCUUCUGUGUCCCACCAAGCAUUCAUGUCCAUUAACAGAGCAAGUGCCCUGAAUUCUUGAGCCCCAACACUGACUGCACACCCAAUUGUCCCUUCGAGAUUCUUGACUUCAUGCAAUUCAAGGGAGAAGCCUCCCUCCUGGGUGCCCAGGCCCAGAUACACUGUGGCCAGAAACAAAACACUGUAGGCUCCUGUCAGCCUGAGGGGAGCAUGGAAACUUGCUCCUAUGGGCCCCACGCACCCCGUAGGAAAUACCUCAUCUCCUCAUCCUUAGUCCUCAGCACCAAGAAGAGGUGGGCAUGUGCUCCGCUGAGCUGCAGGAGGCCCAGCUCUGCUCCAUAGAUGCUGCUGAGUGAAGGAGAAACAGCACAACAUGGGGGGAGAGUCCUAAACGCUUCAUGUGUGCUGAGACCUGUCUUUUAGAAACAGGCUUGACAUAUAGUGAACCAUCUGCAGAACCUUUCUAAUGAGAGGGUAAAGCCAGCCCCUCCUACCCCUACAGGACUUUUUUUCAUUUGUUUUGUUUUGUUUUGUUUUUGAUGGAGUUUUGCUCUUGUUGCCCAGGCUGGAGUGCAAUGGUGCAAUCUCGGCUCACCGCAACCUCCGCCUUCCAGUUUCAAACGAUUCUCCUGCCUCAGCCUCCCGAGUAGCUGGGAUUACAGGCAUGCGCCACCAUGCCUGGCUACUUUUUUAUUUUUAGUAAAGGCGGGGUUUCUCCAUGUUGGUUAGGCUGGUCUUGAACUCCUGACCUCAGGUGAUCCACCCACCUCGGCCUCCCAAAGUGCUGGGAUUACAGGCAUGAGCCACUGCACCCAGCCUCAGUUUCGUCUUUAAUGCUUUUCGCUAUAGAACUGAACAAUGCCAGAGUCCGGAAAGAGAAGGUUGGAGCAUUUCUCUACACUUGAAAAACCACAUCUGAGUGAGUGUUGCAGAGACAGGGGCUGUAAGUCAGGCUGGUGGGGAGGAAAUCUUGGCUCCCUGACCUGCUCACCACUCAGAUCUCCUCUCUGAGCCUCAGUGUCCUCAUCUUUAAAGAGGCAACAAAUGGCUCCGCCCUCAUAGCACUGGUUAUAAGCAGACUUUGGCACAACUGCCACUCCCUGGCCCCCUUCCCUGCCUCCCUCCUUUCUCAUCCAGGUCAUCAUUUAGGCUGAGAGCAUGGCAAAGAGGGGUGAGCACCAUACUAGGAGUUAGCAUAUCUGAGUCACACCUGAGCUACUUUCUGGCUGUGACUGCCUGGGCUGGGGAGGCACCAUCUGGAAACUUCGGUGUCUUUGCCUAUAUUAUCUGAUCAGGGUAAAUCCACUUCCACAUCUAUGUUCAAGGGUGGUGGGGAGCCCUGUUGCUAUGUCAUCUAGGAGGGAAAUUAGAUAAUAUUCUCAUAUAUGAAAAUACACACACCCUCUGACUUAGCAAUGUCACUUCCAGUGGGUGUCUCCCACCUGAGGAGGGUGAUACAUGUACAAGGCCAUCCACUGCAGGAUUGUUAGUAGCUCAAGUUUGGGAACAACUUACAUACCCAUCAACAGAAUGCUGUGAAAUAAAUUUUGAUAUUUCCAUAAAUUGGAGUGUUCUGCAGCUGCUAAAGAGUGGAGCAGUUCUAUGUCCUGACGUGGAAUCUCGAUACGGAAUGUUAGGGCUUAUGUUUGGAAGAAGUUUUCCAAUCACCAAUGGGCUUUAGUGUCUGAAUGUGAGGUGCAUUCUGAACCUUUGGGAAAUGGAUGAAAAAAGAAAUCCUGGCUCCCUGAUCCAUGGUUCUGUUUGAGGAGCUUUUAUUUAGUACCUGUGAUGCACCAGGUUCUUCUAUGAAGACAGUGUCUAACAAACACUGGGGAAGGAAGGAGCCUGCCUCUAUUCGGACCUUGACUCUGGCUUUGAUUCCAUCAAUAACUGGCCAUGUGACUGUGGACAAGGCCCCUAUCAUCUCUUGGCUUAAGUCCCCCAUCUGUAAAGGGGAGUUGGGCUGAAAGUCUGAAGGUCUUUCCCGUGCUGAAAUUCCAGGAUUCAGGAGGUAGGAUGAGGAUUCUGGGCCUCUGGCUGGAAACCCCAAAUAAGUUUUAUUGCUGCUUUAAAUUGGGCACCCCUGAGCCACCCAUACGUAUGACCUCUUUUCUGAGGUGAAGGAUAUUCUGAGAUGACCCAGCUCUGCUCAGAGCCCACAGUGACUGUAUGACUCAGUCCUUAAAUCACCCAAGGCUUCAAAUAGACCCACAGCAAAUGCGAGACUUAUUGGCAUCUCCUCCCACCGGGCCAUUAGACUAAACAGUGAAUCUGUGCCUCCCAGGAAUCUUCCCUGUGUGAUGUUUCUGAAGAUUAAAUAAAGAAAAACACGAUUUACACUUUCCAUCCCCUGGAUGAAUUUCUCCUCAUUAGAAUGGAAGAGAAUGUAAGCUUGGUGUGGGGAAGAGCUAUUGGCUGUUUCAUUCACUGCUGUUUGCACAGCAUCCAGGGCGGAGUCUGGCACACAGUGGGUUCUCAGUGAGUGCCUGUUGCAAACUUAAAGUAUAAUAAAAUAAAAUAAAUAAAAAAAAAUAAAAAAAAGAAUAUACUUGGCCAGCCUGAGAGAGAAGCGCUCUUUGGAGGCAGAAGGUGAGUUCUGGCCCCGUACCUGGGCAAGUCACUCAAUCUGUCAGUUUCCUCAUUUGUGGAACCAAAGGGCUGGGCCAGAUUGGGAAGGACAAGAGCUGUAGAGCCAGACAGAUUGAAGAUGUAGUCUCUCCCAUCAUUUACUAGCAAUCAUUUACCUUGAGCAAUAGCAUGAUGUCCCUGGGCUUCAACUCACCUGAUCUGUAGAAGGGGGUGACAACAGGUCUUGAAAAUGAGCACUGAAAAUCACACCUGAUUGUUGCUCAAAGAAUGGAAGGUGUUACUAUUGAGUUAUUGUCACACAUCAGGGGAUGAGGGAGGUCCAUGUUGUACUCACCACCCAAAGCCAUCUCAGUGCCUGGUCCAGACUUAAACUCCA
rnacentral:lncRNA from 10 species